UAUCUGCCCUUUGGCCUGGAAUAACACGAGGAAACUUGUGCUAAUACCGGAUAAGUCUUUACGGAGAAAGCUUUAUGCACCAUUGGAUGAGCCUGCACUUGAUUAGUUUGUUGGUGGGGUAAUGGCCUACCAAGACUGUGAUCAAUAGCUGAUUUGAGAGGAUGAUCAGCCACAUUGGGACUGAGACACGGCCCAAACUCCUACGGGAGGCAGCAGUGGGGAAUCUUGCACAAUGGAGGAAACUCUGAUGCAGCGAUGCCGCGUGAGUGAAGAAGGCCUUUGGGUUGUAAAGCUCUUUCGUCGGGGAAGAAAAUGACUGUACCCGAAUAAGAAGGUCCGGCUAACUUCGUGCCAGCAGCCGCGGUAAUACGAAGGGACCUAGCGU
rnacentral:rRNA from 1 species